rnacentral:lncRNA from 1 species
UUGCUGUACAAAACUAGAAAGUAAAAGACGACAUAAAAAACAUACUCAAAACAUAAAAAUAAAAUAAAAAUAACAAAUAUAAAAAAUCUCCUUAAGCAACUCCUGAAUGCGGUGGUCUUGGGGUAUCUGUCAUGCUCAAACUCCGGUAAGUGGAUCUACACCUGUAUGAGAAAACUUAAACCAACACUAUGUGAGACAAUAACAUUCCCUACUAGACACAUGCAAGACAUGAUUGAGGCUAUUUUUGCAAAACGACUUAUUUGGCCAAAAGGUGGUUAGAAGUGCAAAAUUUGACUAAGAACCCGCAAAGCAAAGAACCUAAGAUUUACUAGGAAGACCGGACCCUAUGUGGGUUGCCUACGUAUCCCGCCUCGAAAGACGAGAAUCAGGUAUGCGUAGUUCGGGCAGAUUGGAUACGGGCGAGAAUAAAUAAUAAAAAAAAACAACUGACAUAUAGAAAACACAUUUUUUUCUUUUUUUUUUCGAAAAAUGAUGAAAUAUAUACAAUCUUUUUGGAUUUUCGAUUUUUAAUUUUUUAUUUUUGAAAAAUGAUAAAAAGUACAAAAUCUUUUUGAAGUUUCCAUGCUCUUUUUUUCUUAAUAAAAUGUAACAAAAAUAUAAUUGGGCCCUACUCGCUUCAUCGUCUCACAUCAGCCUCUCUUUUUUUUCUUUUUUUUCUUUUUUUUUUCAUUCGCCCUCAAUUAUCAUUGGUCCGCCAAAUGAUCCUUUUACCCUUGAAGAAAUGCAACAUGUAGCACAUAGGAUGCAUCAACAUGGUCUGUUAUUUUGGGUACACCUGUCCUAAACGGACCCAACCCCUGUGUUGAGUCCCCAAAGUCAAAUGCACAUGAUGCAAACAAACGUGCCUACUAGGGAUCCAACAUGAGGCUGAGUUAUUCUAGGUUCAAAACCUGGGUUUAUUGUUCUAGACUUGGCUUACCCGAGCGGACAGCUCGAGCCGGGGGGGGCAGCGUACAGGGAAUACAGAAGCUUUGCCAGCUUUGCAACUUGUCCGAACCUCGUUCUAAAUUUGGGAUAUGAUUCUAACAGAAAAGAAGUCACACAAAGUGCACACUUCUUCAUGAUUUAGAAGACUCAUAGAGAUGAGGGAUUUCGCAACAGUUUAUAUACAGUUCACGGAAUAUCAAAGCGGUAAAAGCAAUCAAUUAGCACAUUAGGCCCAAAUCAUGUAACAAAAUCAAAUAAUGGAUAAAGUCAACUAUAACAAUUAUUGUAAGCUCGAAUUCUUGAACCCUGAACUAGAGAUUUUGGGUUCGAUCCCCAGCAGAGUCGCCAGAGCUAUCACACCUCCUUUUUUCCUACCCUCCGGAAGGGUAUAAGGGAGUUUUUUCCAACUUAAAGUGACAAUCGAAACGGGAUUGUAUUUAUUUAUUAAAAAUUCAGAGUUGCCACUUGGAAUAAUUUUAUGGUGUCCCAAGUCACCGAUUCAAAUCCCGAAUCGAGGAAAAGAUUGACUCUGUAUUACAGUCCGCGAACCAGAAAUCCGGGUAAGGAAUUCUGUUAACCCGGGAGAAGGUGUUAGGCAUUCCCAAGUUCCGUGGUUCUAGCACGGUCGCUCAACUAUUAUAGUUGGCUUAUUAUUUGAUUUUAAAACAAUUUUGAACUUAUGUGCAUUUUAACUUUAAACCGCUUUUAAUUAGUUUAAGGAAGAUUUCAACGCCAUCUAAAACAUGUCUUUGGACCGCGCCACAUGAAAUGCACCCACAAUCCGAAACAUAUUUUAUUCAACGUUGUUGAGAUUUGGAUUUGGGUCACAUGAAAUGCACACCCGAGUUUAGGAAGGUAAUAUUAUUAAAAUAAUGCGCCUAAAGUAACUACGAGAGUUCAAGGCAUUUUCUUUCUAAGCUAAUUCAAGAUUAUUGCGAUGCUAAAUGUAUGAACAAGAUAUUAUUGGGGCAACUAGGCUAGCUAACAUGAUCCAUCGCUUGGCCCAGAUUCCUUAUGGUUCAAGACCCACCUCAUGGUCCAUUUAUUUCUUGUCAAGAAAGAAACAACUCCAAUUUUUCAAUCUACCCAAUUAAAAGCAUUUAUUCAAGAAUCAAGACUACGUACAUCACAAUCGAAAUAAAAAAAAACUAAAACAUGCUACUAAAACAACGUAGAAUCACAAAUCAACCAACACGCGUAUCAAACUAUCAUAACACAAUGAAAUGAGAAUGAAAAUUGAGAAAUGGACCUUUUAUUGAUGAACAAAGCCGAAAAUUGCAAAUCGAUCGGGCUAAACAAAGCAAUAAUCCUUGUACUGAAUCACCGAAAUUGCGAACCGGAACCUCGAAUCGACACCGGAAAACUCAAAACCACUCCUCAAGCUACUGUUUAUUGGAAGCUCAACGUGAGAAGGAAUUCACGUGGGAAGGAAUUUUCUUAAAGUCUGCGAAUUCUGGCAAAAAUUAGUAGGGUGGUGCUACUAUUUUUCUAAUCCUCCACCAUUUUAAUUUCCCUAAUCUCAUUAAUUUCCUGCCUUGUCCAAUGUCAAAUUCAUCAAGAAAUGAUCAAGCUGUUGCCAAAGCUAAUAAAGGAAUGAAGGAUUUGUCCAAUUAAAUAUUCGAUUCAAUUGAUUAUUCGGAAGGAAAUUUGAGCAGUUAAUUGGAAAUGCUCCAAACUCUACUCUCAUCCUCUUCCUUUUCUAUGAUACUGCCAAUUUUCUUUAUUGGGCACAAGUACCGGUAUACUGUAUCUUCUUUACCGAGCAUAAGUUUUUCUGAAUUAACAAAAAAUCUCUUUGAUUUUUGAUCGGUAACAGCAAAUUUGUUAUCGCUCUUUCCCUUUUCGUGUACGUGGAUUUGGAGAAAAAUGGAUAUGGACUCUAAAGUCUU